rnacentral:rRNA from 1 species
AACGAACGCUGGCGGCAGGCUUAACACAUGCAAGUCGAGCGCCCCGCAAGGGGAGCGGCAGACGGGUGAGUAACACGUGGGAAUCUACCCAUCCCUACGGAACAACUCCGGGAAACUGGAGCUAAUACCGUAUACGCCCUUUGGGGGAAAGAUUUAUCGGGGAUGGAUGAGCCCGCGUUGGAUUAGCUAGUUGGUGGGGUAAAGGCCUACCAAGGCGACGAUCCAUAGCUGGUCUGAGAGGAUGAUCAGCCACAUUGGGACUGAGACACGGCCCAAACUCCUACGGAAGGCAGCAGUGGGGAAUAUUGGACAAUGGGCGCAAGCCUGAUCCAGCCAUGCCGCGUGAAUGAUGAAGGCCUUAGGGUUGUAAAGUUCUUUCACCGAUGAGGAUAAUGACGGUAGUCGGAGAAGAAGCCCCGGCUAACUUCGUGCCAGCCGCCGCGGUAA